UGACUGCCGGCCGCAUGGUCUGGUGGUGGAAAGAUUUUUUGGUUGGGGAUGGACUCGCGGCCUAUCAGCUUGUUGGUGAGGUAAUGGCUCACCAAGGCGACGACGGGUAGCCGGCCUGAGAGGGUGACCGGCCACACUGGGACUGAGACACGGCCCAGACUCCUACGGGAGGCAGCAGUGGGGAAUAUUGCACAAUGGGCGAAAGCCUGAUGCAGCAACGCCGCGUGAGGGAUGACGGCCUUCGGGUUGUAAACCUCUUUUAGUAGGGAAGAAGCGAAAGUGACGGUACCUGCAGAAAAAGCACCGGCUAACUACGUGCCAGCAGCCGCGGUAAUACGUAGGGUGCAAGCGUUGUCCGGAAUUAUUGGGCGUAAAGAGCUCGUAGGCGGUUUGUCGCGUCUGCUGUGAAAUCCCGAGGCUCAACCUCGGGCUUGCAGUGGGUACGGGCAGACUAGAGUGCGGUAGGGGAGAUUGGAAUUCCUGGUGUAGCGGUGGAAUGCGCAGAUAUCAGGAGGAACACCGAUGGCGAAGGCAGAUCUCUGGGCCGUAACUGACGCUGAGGAGCGAAAGCGUGGGGAGCGAACAGGAUUAGAUACCCUGGUAGUCCACGCCGUAAACGUUGGGCGCUAGAUGUAGGGACCUUUCCACGGUUUCUGUGUCGUAGCUAACGCAUUAAGCGCCCCGCCUGGGGAGUACGGCCGCAAGGCUAAAACUCAAAGGAAUUGACGGGGGCCCGCACAAGCGGCGGAGCAUGCGGAUUAAUUCGAUGCAACGCGAAGAACCUUACCAAGGCUUGACAUACACCGGAAACGGCCAGAGAUGGUCGCCCCCUUGUGGUCGGUGUACAGGUGGUGCAUGGUUGUCGUCAGCUCGUGUCGUGAGAUGUUGGGUUAAGUCCCGCAACGAGCGCAACCCUCGUUCUAUGUUGCCAGCGCGUUAUGGCGGGGACUCAUAGGAGACUGCCGGGGUCAACUCGGAGGAAGGUGGGGAUGACGUCAAAUCAUCAUGCCCCUUAUGUCUUGGGCUUCACGCAUGCUACAAUGGCCGGUACAAAGGGCUGCGAUACCGUAAGGUGGAGCGAAUCCCAAAAAGCCGGUCUCAGUUCGGAUUGAGGUCUGCAACUCGACCUCAUGAAGUCGGAGUCGCUAGUAAUCGCAGAUCAGCAACG
rnacentral:rRNA from 1 species